UCGUUCGAUUACAAAUUUCAUAAAAAAAUUGCUACCUUAAAAUACAAGAGUCUAAUCUUAACAUAACAUUCCGUGAAGCGUUGUGAAGCUUAUAGAAUACCCAAGACAGAACGGCAAAAGGCUAGCAAAAAUUCUAGAAAGUGUCGUGUUCAUAAAAAUCCUAAAUAAUGGUUCGAGGAAUCGGCGCUUGUGUGCAGGACUAAAAACGAAGCAGAAUUGUAUGUUGAAUCUCAUGGUUGAAUAAAUUUAUCCUCAUUCUCCGAUCGUGCUGAGAAUCGCAUCGUCGCUCUGACAUCCGUCAUAAAGAUCAGUUAAACGCUUUUUUUGUAAAAAAAAUAGAUCAAGGCGUUACUGCUUAUAAACGUUUUGUGUUAUAAACAGUAACUAUUGCGUUCAAACAUUAAACUGAGUAACUAAGUUAAGUGUUACUUGGUACUUCUAACCGUGUUAUACUGUCAUACCAAAUGUAAUGAUGACUUUCAUAUUACGCUUUGUAACUUACUCCUUCCCAUCCAACGCGAAUUUUUUAAUCGUUUUGCCAAACAUGGCAUUAGAAGAAUAAUCUUUAAAAUAACUAUAACAUAUCCAAUAAGAACGUCAAAGCAGUGGGAUAAAAAGGGUACCGUACGUUCCAUCUACGAAAACCUUUGUAAACAUGAGUUGUGAAAUAAAGUAGAGAUAAUAUCAAAGAAAA